CUGCAUUCCCUCAGACGCCGUUCCACGA
rnacentral:sRNA from 1 species